AAGUCGUAACAAGGUUUCCGUAGGUGAACCUGCGGAAGGAUCAUUAUACACGAUUCCAAUCGUAUAAACCAAUCGCGCACUUGUUUUGUAUUCUAAGUUCAUGCUAGCUGAAAAACCGUUAGGUUGAGGUAGCGUGAGAGCUUCGGCUCUCCGCCUUUCGGUCCGCUUUGAUCUCGUUCACGCGAGCGUCAGAGGAGCUAUUAUGAAUUACGCUACUGCGUCCUUGGCUUGCCAAGAGCGCUUUUUUAUUUACCUUUUCAAACCCUUUGUAUCCAUUUGUACUAAAAAGCAUUUCUUAUUUUAAGAAAUUAAAGAACAACUCUUAGCAACGGAUAUCUAGGCUCUC
rnacentral:misc_RNA from 1 species